UACGUAGGGGGCUAGCGUUGUCCGGAUUUAUUGGGCGUAAAGAGCUCGUAGGCGGUUCGGUAAGUCGCGUGUGAAAGCCCCCGGCUCAACUGGGGAGGGUCACGCGAUACUGAUCGACUCGAAGGCAGGAGAGGGUAGUGGAAUUCCCGGUGUAGUGGUGAAAUGCGUAGAUAUCGGGAGGAACACCAGUGGCGAAGGCGACUACCUGGCCUGUUCUUGACGCUGAGGCGCGAAAGCUAGGGGAGCAAACGGG
rnacentral:rRNA from 1 species